UCUCCGUAGGUGAACCUGCGGAGGGAUCAUUACAGAGUUCAUGCCCUACCGGGUAGAUCUCCCACCCUAUGUUAUUAUUACUUUGUUGCUUUGGCGGGCCGUUAGGCUCCGGCCCGACUACCGGCCCCGGCUGGUAAGCGCCCGCCGGAGGACCCAAAACCCUGAAUAUUAGUGUCGUCUGAGUACUGUAUAAUAGUUAAAACUUUCAACAACGGAUCUCUUGGUUCUG
rnacentral:misc_RNA from 1 species